rnacentral:rRNA from 1 species
ACAUACUGUGCGAACGUUAUUCGGAUUCACUGGGCUUAAAGGGUGCGUAGGCGGCUUGCUAAGUAGGGUGUGAAAGCCCCCAGCUCAACUGGGGAACUGCACUCUAUACUGGCGAGCUAGAGUGAGAUAGGGGUGUGUGGAACUGCCAGUGGAGCGGUGAAAUGUGUUGAUAUUGGCAGGAACGCCGGUGGCGAAAGCGACACACUGGGUCUCAACUGACGCUGAGGCACGAAAGCCAGGGGAGCGAACGGGAUUAGAUACCCCGGUAGUCCUGGCCGUAAACGCUGAGUACUCGUUUGGAGCGGCUUCGGCUGCUCCAGACUUAGAGAAAUCGUUAAGUACUCCGCCUGGGGAGUAUGGUCGCAAGGCUG